rnacentral:rRNA from 1 species
AUUGAACGCUGGCGGCAGGCUUAACACAUGCAAGUCGAGCGGAAGAAGGGAGCUUGCUCCUGGAUCUAGCGGCGGACGGGUGAGUAAUGCCUAGGAAUCUGCCUGGUAGUGGGGGAUAACGUCCGGAAACGGGCGCUAAUACCGCAUACGACCUGAGGGAGAAAGUGGGGGAUCUUCGGACAUCACGCUAUCAGAUGAGCCUAGGUGGGAUUAGUUAGCUGGUGGGGUAAAGGCCUACCAAGCCGACGAUCCGUAACUGGUCUGAGAGGAUGAUCAGUCACACUGGAACUGAGACACGGUCCAGGCUCCUACGGGAGGCAGCAGUGGGGAAUAUUGGACAAUGGGCGAAAGCCUGAUCCAGCCAUGCCGCGUGUGUGAAGAUGGUCUUCGGAUUGUAAAGCACUUUAAGUUGGGAGGAAAAGCAGUAGGUUAAUACCUUGCUGUUUUGACGGUACCGACAGAAUAAGCACCGGCUAACUACGUG